rnacentral:lncRNA from 1 species
UGAAAUUAAUAAUGACAUGUGAAUUUUGGGCAACAAAUUGUCUCUUCUGAACUCCACAAAUGAAGCUAUCUCACAGAGAUCAUUGUUCAAUUAUAUCUGUAAAGUGUAAAGAAUUUUUAAUUUCCAUUUCAUUUCCAAUUUAUAGCUUAUAGAUGUCAUUUCUUUUCAGCACCACAUGCAUUGUUUCUGGCUUACCUUGGGUUAGCUAUGUUGCUGAAAUUAGUCUGAAAUACCUAGACUCAUGUAAUUUUCCUGCCUCAGCCUGCUCAGUAACUGGAGCAUUCUUCUCCAUUCUUGAUAUUUCCACAUUUCUAGGUUUUUAAGUGAAUGGGUGUUUAUUUAUUAAUUAACAUAAUAAAUUACAGAGUUUUUUCUUUAUUAAUAUAGUCAUGUUGUUUCAGUUACCUCUUUACUUCAGACUUUGUCUAUCCCAUAACACAAAGAUUCUAGGGUUUUCAUUUGAGCUUAAAAAAAUCAUCUUGAAUUAUAAUUUGGCCUCCUCCUCUGGAUUCACACAAGACAGAUAGAAAAUUACUUUUUCUUUGUGAGAUGAGGGGGUUUUCUCUUUCAUGGGACUCUUAUAUAGUUGAAUGACAUAGCUCUCUGGAUAAAAACCUUUUAAUUCCUAGAAAAAAAUAACACAUCAGACUCAUAAAUCCAGAUUGAGGAAGCUUUGGCAUCCCCACACAAAUAAUUUUAUACAUCCUACAGUUCAAAUUUACAGGUGAAGGUUUUCUCCUCUGAGCUUUUAGGAUAGGUGCAGACAAGCCGUAAUGCCAGCCAUUAACUGUGACCUCAGUCCAAACGAAGCAGAUGAUUUAAACGCAAACGCUUCACUGUUCCUCUCCAGCCUGUCUGCAUUUCAUUUGCACAAAGUGAUCUGAAGCUAGUACCCUGAUAUUGGGUCACAGGAAGCAAUACAGCGAAGCAUUUCCAAACAGACACAUCACUCUACCCUGUGUUAGGUUCUUCCUCCAGAAGCCUGUCUAGCAGCAAGCUAGCAAAGCCAGUCUCUCCUCAGCUAGCAUUCUGUUGAGUCAUGUUUACUGUCCCCCCUCAAAAAGGUUCCAAAAGCAAAUGCAAGAGGUUGCCGAAUGCAGGGACAUGUGGCGUGCGCAAUACUGAAGUGAGAGGCAUAGCAUGCACCUGCCUUGUGGCUGUGGCGGGCCAUCUUGACUGCGCCAUGCCACAAGUUAGCAUUUUGGAUGAGCAAUUGCCAUUCUGUUGUUUUCUUCUCAACACAUGGUGUUCAAAAACAGUUAAAAGAAAACUGUACCCAUUUGCUCAUCCCAGAAAUCUAAAAUUUCAAAGGCGCAUGCCAAACUAAUUUUCACAUAAUAUUUUCCAAGCUUUUUCUUUGCACUGAGAAAUGAUACUUCACUUUUUGAACUCCUGGUAUCCUGGCCUGGGGUAAGUGGGUGCAGUUUCUCUUUAAAUGGCAUUAAACAUAUCAAAGCAGGAUUAUAUCUGUCACUGUCUUUUUUUUUCCUUUUUCUAAUGGAAUCAAAAUCCUUCAGGGAGUGUCCCAAAUCCACAUUAAUGUCUUUGAGUGCUAAUGUCUCCGCUGGGACCUUCACGUUAGCAAAAUAACAAGUGUGUGGUUCCCCUGUGCUGUCUGAGUUAGAAAGAGCUGAACCACGCAUCCCUGAUUCUCCAUGGCCUUCAGCUAGAAGAUGAGUCCAGGGUCCGGGUGUUGCUGACUCCUUUUUGGCCACUUCUCUCCCUUGUGCAGCUUGCCCACAAAGCUUCUGUGAGAGCUGUUUCUACCAUGGGCGAAGCUACGGAGUGCCAGCCAUGAAUCGAAUCAAAAGGGCCAAGCUUCGUAUCUACCAGUCUUGCUUUAUCUCUGUUCUGAAUGUGGAAAAAUUGUGAAGAUACCCAGAGUCAUAGGACAUGGCUAUGCAUAGUUUUGUCGCGGCUGUGAGGGUAUCAACUAUGUGUCACUUUGAUGCUAAAGAAGUAUCAUGCUCACCCAUUCCCCUCCCUCUUUUUGUCUCCUUAGCAAAGCAAUUGAGAUGAUUCCUUUUUUAUUUAUUUUUUAUUUUUUAAUUUUUGUCAACUUCUAAUUAUCAAGUGUUGGUGCCCCAUCAUGAUGCCAUAGAUAAUAAUUAUAAAGAGUAGAUUCUAAUGUAUUAAUAAAUAAUAAAUAGUUACUAUUUAAUCUUAAAACCG